UUAUCACAAACAUACAGGCAUAAAAAUAUAUGCCAUCUUACUUCUGGGCGUGCAAUUAAAAAAUUCAAUUUGUCUAUUAAAGGUAAAGUCAUUUUCAUAAAAUCAAUUUGGUUAUUGAAGGUAAAGUCAUUUUCAU